rnacentral:other from 1 species
CGAAUCCUAAAAUGUUUGUAAGCUUUUAUAACUCUUUUGACCGAACAACAAAUCGUUGGGAAUUCACAUUUUGUUUUGGCAAACAAGCCCUGCAACAAGACGAGGGAAGUUUAAAGAAAUGAAGAGAGUACCCACCUGCUUAAGUCGCGGGUUCAAAACGAUGUUGCAUUUGCUUACGGCAUUUUGGGAUUCGU